rnacentral:rRNA from 1 species
GAUGAACGCUGGCGGCGUGCCUAAUACAUGCAAGCCGAGCGAACGGACGAGAAGCUUGCUUCUCUGAUGUUAGCGGCGGACGGGUGAGUAACACGUGGAUAACCUACCUAUAAGACUGGGGUAAAUUCGGGAAAACGGAGCUAAUACCGGAUAAUAUUUUGAACCGCACGGUUCAAAAGUGAAAGACGGUCUUGCUUUCACUUAUAGAUGGAUCCGCGCUGCAUUAGCUAGUUGGUAAGGUAACGGCUUACCAAGGCAACGAUGCAUAGCCGACCUGAGAGGGUGAUCGGCCACACUGGAACUGAGACACGGUCCAGACUCCUACGGGAGGCAGCAGUAGGGAAUCUUCCGCAAUGGGCGAAAGCCUGACGGAGCAACGCCGCGUGAGUGAUGAAGGUCUUCGGAUCGUAAAACUCUGUUAUUAGGGAAGAACAUAUGUGUAAGUAACUGUGCACAUCUUGACGGUACCUAAUCAGAAAGCCACGGCUAACUACGUG